UUUCGCAAUGCCCGAAAGGGUGACGAAGCGACGCCGCGUGGGUGAGGAAGGCCUUCGGGUUGUAAAGCCCUGUCAGGAGUUAAGAAAUGUAAGUGCGCUAAUAUCGCAUUUAUUUGACGAAGGCUCCAAAGGAAGUCACGGCUAACUCUGUGCCAGCAGCCGCGGUAAUACAGAGGUGGCAAGCGUUGUUCGGAAUUAUUGGGCGUAAAGAGCACGUAGGUGGGUUUGUAAGUCAGAUGUGAAAGCCUUCUGUUCAACGGAAGAAUUGCAUCUGAAACUGCAAGUCUUGAGUGUAGGAGGGGAGAAUGGAACUUCUGGUGGAGCGGUGAAAUGCGUAGAUAUCAGAAGGAACGCCGGCGGCGAAAGCGAUUCUCUGGCCUAUUACUGACACUCAGUGUGCGAAAGCUAGGGGAGCAAACGGGAUUAGAUACCCCGGUAGUCCUAGCCGUAAACGAUGGGCACUAAGUAGAGGGGUUUU
rnacentral:rRNA from 1 species